rnacentral:rRNA from 1 species
UACGUAGGGUGCGAGCGUUAAUCGGAAUUACUGGGCGUAAAGCGUGCGCAGGCGGUUCGACAAGUCCGAUGUGAAAGCCCCGGGCUCAACCUGGGAAUGGCAUUGGAAACUGGCGAGCUUGAGUGUGGCAGAGGAAGGUGGAAUUCCACGUGUAGCGGUGAAAUGCGUAGAGAUGUGGAGGAACACCGAUGGCGAAGGCAGCCUUCUGGGCCAACACUGACGCUCAUGCACGAAAGCGUGGGGAGCAAACAGG